rnacentral:rRNA from 1 species
AGCUCCAAUAGCGUAUAUUAAAGUUGUUGCAGUUAAAAAGCUCGUAGUUGAAUUUCUGGUGAGCGAGAGCGGUCCGAUCAAUGAUUGGUGCUUGCUUUCGCUGGCCAUCCUUGGGUUUAGCCAGUCUGGCAUUAAGUUGUCGGGCUGGGGAUGCCCAUCGUUUACUGUGAAAAAAUUAGAGUGUUCAAAGCAGACUUAUGUCGUUGAAUAUAUUAGCAUGGAAUAAUAAGAUAGGACUACAGUGCUAUUUUGUUGGUUUGCGCACCGUGGUAAUGAUGAAUAGGGACAGUUGUGAGUAUUCGUAUUCACUUGUAAGAGGUGAAAUUCUUAGAUUAAGGGAAGACGAACUACUGCGAAAGCAUUUACCAAGGAUGUUUUCA